CAAUACUGACAAUGGCAAACAGCCACUUUAUUGGUGGUGGUGUUUUUAUGUCAGUCAGGAGCAGAGCAAAUGGCAGUUCUUUGUUCAUCCUAGCUUGAUGCCUGGCUUGAUGGCCAAAGCUUUCUUAUGCCCAGGACUCAUAA